GCUGGGAGAUGAUGUGAACAAAAGGCCGAAUUGUAGUGCCUCCCCCAGGCAGUAUGUUCUGAGAGGGGGGUCGCGAUGACAAAGACUUGACCGAAGCGUUUUUCUGAUCCCAGA